GACAAGAGUUGAGAGAUUCUGAAAGUGUGACAAGUUCCAUCAAUGUGCAGCCCCAAGACUCCUUUGGGUUGUUGUCAGCUUCAACAAGUUAUUCCAAAAAGACAGCGGCAGAAAUCAGCGAGUAAUGGCAAAACAAUGAGGAGGAGACGAAAGAGCAGCAAGUCAGCAGGGCAUGGACAGCGUCCUCCUGUACAUCCUUUUUAUUAUCCAAAAAACACAAGUAUGUAUCAAGCACGUUGUGUGAAAUCAUGGUAACAUGUAAAAAUAUCUCAAGUCCAAACACAUACAACAAAAAUGCUACCAAACUAAAAAAUCUGCCCACUCAACAGUCCUCACAUCUACUUUGUGUAUGUCAUCAUCAUGUAUGUUUGGGUCUCCAAACACAGCAACAUCAUCAUUGACAAAAAAAAUAUACAUGUCAUCAAUCGAUCGAACAUGUCUGGCAUGAAAAGAGAAAGAAAAGUGUGUCCCAUUUCACAGCAUGGCGGUAUGUUCAUCGACGUGCCGGUACACCAGAAAAAAAGCACAGAUGACAGUUGGGAUCGCAAAAUUCAAGCAAAUGGCAAAGUUGGAAACUUUCCAUGAGAAUUGAAGGGGACAAACCAAAAGAUGGAAAAAA